rnacentral:rRNA from 1 species
GCCUAUGAUCAAAUCACCCGUGUAAUGCAGCCGAUUUCGUCAGAUUGCAGAAGCUAAGCAGUGUUGAGCCUGGACAAUGCUUGGAUGGGUGACCAGUAUGCAUAAAGCAUGUGUUGUAGGCU